UUCCGGUUGAUCCUGCCGGACCCUACUGCUAUCGGGGUGGGACUAAGACAUGCGAGUCGAGCGUCUCCAGCUAUGGUGAGACGCGGCAGACGGCUCAGUAACACGUGGCUAACCUACCCUCAGGACAGGGACAAACCCGGGAAACUGGGGCUAAUACCCGAUAGGCGAGGGCGCCUGGAAUGGUUCUUCACCCAAAGGGCUUUGGAAGCAUGCUUUUCAAAGUCGCCUGGGGAUGGGGCCGCGUCCGAUCAGGUUGUUGGUGAGGUAACGGCUCACCAAGCCUAUAACCGGUACGGGCCGUGAGAGCGGUAGCCCGGAGAUGGGCACUGAGACAAGGGCCCAGGCCCUACGGGGCGCAGCAGUCGCGAAAACUCCGCAAUGCACGAAAGUGUGGCGGGGCUACCCCGAGUGCCGUCCGCUGAGGAUGGCUUUUCCUCGGUGUAACUAGCCGGGGGAAUAAGGAGAGGGCAAGACUGGUGUCAGCCGCCGCGGUAAUACCAGCUCUCCGAGUGGUAGGGAUGAUUAUUGGGCUUAAAGCGUCCGUAGCCGGCUUAGCAAGUCUCCUGUUAAAUUCAGCGACCUAAUCGUUGAGCCGCGGGAGAUACUACUAGGCUAGGAGGCGGGAGAGGCCGACGGUACUUCCGGGGUAGGGGUGAAAUCCUAUAAUCCCGGGCGGACCACCAGUGGCGAAGGCUGUCGGCUAGAACGCGCUCGACGGUGAGGGACGAAAGCUGGGGGAGCGAACCGGAUUAGAUACCCGGGUAGUCCCAGCCAUAAACGAUGCGGGCUAGGUGUUGGGGUGGCUACGUGCCACUUCAGUGCCGCAGGGAAGCCAUUAAGCCCGCCGCCUGGGGAGUACGGCCGCAAGGCUGAAACUUAAAGGAAUUGGCGGGGGAGCACCACAAGGCGUGAAGCUUGCGGUUCAAUUGGAGUCAACGCCGGA
rnacentral:rRNA from 1 species